UUUAGGUCGUUUCUGCUCACUGAUUUAAAUAUUAAAGGGCCGCAGUAAUUUGACUGUGCAAAGGUAGCAUAAUAAAUAGUUUUUUAAUUGAAAACUGGAAUGAAUGAAUUGAUGAAAAAUUGACUUUCUUUAAUUUUAGAUUAGAAUUUUGAUUUUGAAUAAAAAUUUUCAAAUUUUAUUAAAAGACGAGAAGACCCUAUAGAUUUUUAUUUUUAAUUGUAAAAGUUAGAAUAUAUUUUUUGUAUUUGUAAGUUUUUUAAUGAGAAUUUUAUUGGGGUGAUAUAAGGAGAUUUAAAUCUUUUUAAAAAUUUUGUUUAAUUAUAUUUAUUUUUUGGAUCCUUUUUUUGGAUUAUUAGAUUAAAUUACCUUAGGGAUAACAGCAUAAUUUUAUUGGAAAGUUCAUAUUAAUAAUAAAGAUUGUGACCUCGAUGUUGAAUUAAGAUGAAAGGUGGAGGCAGAAGUUCAUCUUUUUUAGUCUGUUCGACUAUUAAAAUCU
rnacentral:rRNA from 1 species